rnacentral:misc_RNA from 1 species
GCAACCUAUACCUAGACUGCGAUAAUUCAAAAUUCCUUAAACACUAAAUAUUUCCGUUUCUGCGUCUGAAUUGUCCGUAUUCUCUUUUUCCAGAGCGAACUAGGUCAGACGUCCUCAUCGCUUACUGAGCAAAGACAAAGGUAACAGAAUCACGACACUCGACUACAAAAAGACAACAGCUCUGGGAGUACACCUCGCUACGUGUCAUGUUGAGGAUUAAAUUGAAUAGAGGAAUAUUGAAGCUAGGGGAAUUCUUUGGACUUGCACAGGGUUUAUUUGGAAAAAUAAAAGUUUAUGAGAGUUACAAAGUCAUGUGGACGGAGACAUGGUAAAACACGAG